UGUGUGUGUGUGUGUGUGUGUGUGUGUGAAUGCGCGCGCGCGUUGCAAAUACGAAAGUAAUUUCCCCGUGUUCUUUCUUCCUCUCUGUCUCCGGCGGCGACGGCGGCGACCGCGGCCCCGGGGGAGUGGGAGGCCGACCCGGGAGGAGGUUGGGGGGCCGGGCCGGAGCUGAAGCUCGGUCCGGAUUGUGGGAGGGAAGCUCUGAAAGCUUGUUUCACAUUCCUGGCGUCAGGGCCAGGGAGAAAACAGUGGGGAGCACGGCCUCGGUGUCGUGGUGCAGGCUGCGGGAUCGCGUCGCCCCCUGGCCGGGGACAUCUGUCCAGGAAGCUGGCCAGGCGGGGAGAGGGCGCGGUGCAGAGGGCAGGCUCCCCGCCCUGGAGCGGUGGGGGCGCGGGAGAGGGGCGGCCUCCUCUCCCGGCCAUUGUGCGCCAGCAGAUUUUCACGGGAGACUGCCCCGAAGCCGCGGGAGAAGGCCAGGAGCCGGCCACAGCCUCGGGUUUAAAAGACACUCCAGGAAUGUAAACAACCCGGGCGGGAGGGCUAGCGGACGGGAGCGCGCCAGGACUGCGGGCCUGGGCCCCCCACCCUUCCCGGGGGAAAACGGAUCGGCGCGGCUACUCUGCCCUUUCCUUUACCUGCUGAAAACUUUCCUUUCUCUGGUUUACAGUUCCACCUUGUGCCUCCAGCCCGGAGCAGGACGAAGGGCCUCUCCCGCAGCCCGGGCUCAAGGAGCCUGGCAUCCCGCACCCCACCCGGGAGCCCUGAAAGCCCGGGUGACCAGAUCUCUGGUAGAUAGUUCGGUCAACAUCUGCCCUGGGAGCUGCAGCUUCUUGGGCUGGCAGUGCUAAGAGUAACUGAGGCUCAGAGCCUGCCCGCCUGGAUUGCUUGCUCGCUUUCUCCCGCCCUCCUUCCCGCGGCUCCUUCCCCCGCUCUCCCCCUUCCCCUUUCCCCUGACUGCUUUUCCAAUGCCCUGACAUGAGGGAGGAAGAUUUAACUUGGCAGCCCAAACAAAUGUUCUCUCUGAGAUCUCCAAGAAGCUGGCUGGCGGCUGGGCUGGCGGGGUACAGAUAAAGGGAUAGUGACUGGGGCUGGAGAAACAGGCGACUUGGCUGCUGGUGAAUCCCUGCCUGCCCCCCUAUGCUUGCACAGUGACUGGAGUGUGGAAAAGGAAAGAGUUGCCUGUGAGCUAGAAGUUUAGAUGAGGGAGCAAGCUCAUGGUCUUUCUUAUCCGGACUGUUUUUUUUUUUUAAAGAGGUCCAAAGAAGGGGAAAUUCCUGGCCCCUGAGUGAAGGCAGAGGGCUUGUGAACACCCGGGAGCCUUGUGCUGACCUUUCCCUCUUCAAGAAGAGGAUGUGGAAACACCAGCAUCAAACAAAAGGCACAUUGAAAGCCCUAUCUAUCUGCCUAGGAGCGUGUGCAAGGAGAUGGUGUUGUCCUCUGAGUUUUAUGGUUUUGGUUGUUUUGUUUUUCUCCAAAGGACAGAAGCAUCCCUGGCCCAGAGUCACACAGUUAGGAGACCUAGUUUUCUCAUAUGAAUCAGAAGUUUAGACUUGGGAACUUGGUGGCUGGGGCUGGGGGAGGAGCUAUAGAGUUUGCAAGACUUGAGCUGCUGUGGUUGUAAGACUUUCUGAGUAGUGCUCACAGACUCACAGAGGGGACUGGACUUAGGAAAAAAGUUUGAAUAAAUAACCUUGUCUGUG